UACAGAGGGUGCAAGCGUUGUUCGGAAUUACUGGGCGUAAAGAGCUCGUAGGCGGCUGUUCGAGUCGGGUGUGAAAUCCUGAGGCUUAACCUUGGGUCUGCAUUCGAUACUGGGCGGCUUGAGUCUGGUAGGGGGAUCUGGAAUUCCUGGUGUAGCGGUGAAAAUUCGUAGAUAUCGGGGAAGGAACACCUGUGGCGGAAGGCGCCAUCUGGACGGUGACUGACGCUGAGACGCGAAAAGCGUGGGGGAGCAAACGGGG
rnacentral:rRNA from 1 species